AUUGAACGCUGGCGGCAGGCCUAACACAUGCAAGUCGAGCGGAUGAGUGGAGCUUGCUCCAUGAUUCAGCGGCGGACGGGUGAGCAAUGCCUAGGAAUCUGCCUGGCAGUGGGGGACAACGUUUUGAAAGGAACGCUAAUACCGCAUACGUCCUACGGGAGAAAGUGGGGGAGCUUCGGACCUCACGCUAUCAGAUGAGCCUAGGUCGGACUAGCUAGUUGGUGAGGUAAAGGCUCACCAAGGCGACGAUCCGUAACUGGUCUGAGAGGAUGAUCAGUCACACUGGAACUGAGACACGGUCCAGACUCCUACGGGAGGCAGCAGUGGGGAAUAUUGGACAAUGGGCGAAAGCAUGAUCCAGCCAUGCCGCGUGUGUGAAGAAGGUCUUCGGGUUGUAAAGCACUUUAAGUUGGGAGGAAGGGCAGUAGGUUAAUACCCUGCUGUUUUGACGUUACCAACAGAAUAAGCACCGGCUAACUUCGUG
rnacentral:rRNA from 1 species